GAUAGAAUUUUCUUUUCUGUUUAUUUUUGUGACGCCCCCAAUUCAAUCGUACACUAAUCAUACACGCAAAUGUGUACGAUCAAGAUCAGGGACUCACGGGAAGAUAUCACAACACAACUCUAGACACAAAUUAAAAUAAUACAAACUUUAUAUUACAAGCCAGGGGCCUCGAGGGCUCGAAUACAUAAGCUCGAUUACACAAGAGUCAGCGGAAGCAACAAUCUGAGUACAGACAUGAGUUAAACAUUUUUGCCUUAAGAAGGCUAGCACAAAAGCAUCUACGAUCGAAAAGGCAAGGCCUCCUGCCUGGGAGCCUCCUAACUACUCCUGGUCGUCGGCGGUCUUCACGUAGUAGUAGGCACCCUCGUAGUAGUAGCAGUCGUCGUCAAAGGUGGCGUCUAGAUCCUAGGCUCUGACAUCUGGUUGCAUCAACCGGAAAGAAGAUGAAAGGGGGAAAACGGGAAGCAAAGCAACCGUGAGUACUCAUCCAAAAUACUCGCAAGCAAGGAUCUACACUACAUAUGCAACAUUAUCAAAGGAAGGUUGUAUAUGUGGACUGGGCUGCAGAAAUGCCAGAAUAGAGAGAAGGCCUAGUCCUAUCGAAGACUAGCAUCUUCUGGAAACCAUCAUCUUGCAGCAAACUGGAGGGAGUAGAGUAGCAUAAAGUAAAGUAGUGGUAGUGGUAUCAACCUCGGCCAGAGAUCCUUUCUCGACUCCCUGCGAGAAAGCAAUCUCAGAGCCAUACUAUCCAUUUCUCAUCACAAUCCAAUUCUCAUCACCAUCCAAUUCUCAUCACAAGUAUCCAGUUCUAGUUGUAUCGAUCGGGAUACAACUCCAAGUGUCCGUUAUCGUAGGACAGGCUAUCGAUAGAUGUUUUCUUCCCUGCAGGGGUGCACCAACUUACCCACCACGCUCGAUUAACUCCGGCCGGACACACUUUCCUGGGUCAUGCCCGGCCUCGGCCAAACAAUACGUCGCAACCCGACCUAGACUUAACAAAGAGGUCAGCAUGCCGGACUAAACCUAUGCCCCUAGGGUUCAUGGGCCAUCUCCCCGGGAACUCAUGCACGUUGCGAACGCGGCCGGUGAGCAGACCUAACUACCUCCUUAAAAAAGGCAGGUGCUUACCAAUCCAACCCGGCGCGCGCCGCUCAGUCACUGACGUCUAUUAAGCUUCGGCUGAUGUAUACAACGCAGAACGCUCAUACUAUGCCCACGUGAUGGUUAGUGCUAUCAGGCCAGAGGCCCCUCCAAUCAAAUAUCCAAAUCGUAGUGGAUUAGGAACGCGUGGUAACAAGCAGAGACUUACGAAAGAUGUGACCCCGUUGCCCCAUCUCGAGGACUUGCGGCAAGGGCUAAGAAUGCCCGGCCAUGCCUCGUAAUUAUCUCACGGGCACCUUCCAGGUCAACCCGACUCCACAUCACUCGCAAUUAUGCUCGCGCGGGUACCCCUCAGGGUCGACCCGUCUUUAGUAACAUGGUUCAGUGUCAAGUCAUAGUAACCAUAGUAACCGUGUGUCCAAACAUCAAGGGGAAAACCCGAGGAAUCACCCCCGGUGAAUCCAGUCGAUGUAAUCAUCAACGUGAACGUAAGAGGAAUCACCCCCGAGGUUCACACUUGAGGGGUUGCACGACAGAGUCGUAUCGGAAGUGGUUAAGGCGGAAUCACCCUCGAUGACCACGACCGAAUAACUACACUACAGGGUUAACAUCAGAAGUGUUGUAGAGGUCUCACCCUCGGCACUCGAUAGUAACCCAGCAAUGUCGAGCAACUAAGGGGAAAGUGAUGUGCGGUGCCGGGGCCUGGUCUUCGGUCCCGUUGAUCGGGUCUUCGAUGAUGAAGCAGGGGCGACAAGAAUAAGGUGGGGGUCACUGAUGGAUCACUAACCAACCUAUACUAAGCAGUUUAGGAUAAGCAGGUAAGGUACAACCGCAGAUACAAAAGCAGGCUAUGCAUCAGAAUAGGAGCAAUCAAUAACAGUAGCAAAAUCUAAUGCAAGCAUGAGAGAAUGGAAUGGGCGAUAUCGGGAUGAUCAAAGGGGAGGCUUGCCUAGUUGCUCUGGCAAGGAGGGGUCGUCGUCGACGUAGUCGAUCACAGGGGCAGCAUCGGUCUCGGGAUCUAGCGGAGAGAAGAGGGGGAAGAAACAGUAAAUAUAAAGCAAACAUAGCAUCACAAAUCAUAACGUGGCAAAAAGCUGUGUCGAGUGUGACCUAACGUAUGGCUACACGAUAUAGGUGAAGGGGGAAUUCAACCGGGAACGCUUUCCCGGUUCCAGACCUGUGUCAGACAAAUGACCGGAGGGGGAAUGUUCCGUGUUCAGAUAGUUAGAGGCAUCUGACAAGUAAACGGACCGCGCAUUUGGAUUCGCCUCGUCGUUCUGAGCAACUUUCAUGUAAAAAACAUUUUAAUCCGAGUUACGGUUCAUUUUAUAUGAUUUUUCAAAGUUUUGUUAAUAUUUUAAAAUUGUUUUAAUUAUUUAUUUCGAAUUUAAAUAAUGUUGACUCUUUUUAUACCCAGACUGGGCUAGCCACAGUCAAUGAUAUGUGGGGCUAGUCAAAGCCCAGUCAUUAGGUCAACAGUCAAAGUUGCCCUUGGUCAAAGUGUGAACAGUACUAAUGGGGCCUACUUGUCAUAAACAGUGUGUCUGUCAAGUCAAUUAAUUAGAGAUAACCAACAGGGGUGGUCCACAUGUCAUUUGCUAUUAAAGUAAAUUAACACUACUUAAUCUAGUCCUAAAUAAACAAGGGGCCGGUCGUACUGGACAAUGGCCCAGCCGGCCACACACGCAACACACACACACACCACAAAUUCAGUCAUGGCCAUCGCCAUGUUCAGUAGAAGCAACUGUCAACGGCAAUUCGGCAGCAGCUAGUACCAAUAGUAGUGAGGAGCAGCAGCAGCUCGCCAGCAGCAAGUAGCAGGAGCAGCACAGCAGCAGUACGCGGUAAGCAGCACGAUCAGCACGCAGCGACAUGGACCAGCAGCAACAACAGGGGAGCGGCGGCAGGGCGAGCGCGGGAGCAGUGGGCGGCGUGGGCGCACGACGAGGCAGUCAGCGAGCAUGGGCGGCUCCGCGGUGAUGCACCAAGCACGGCCGCGUGCUCAGGAGCAGGCUGUGGCUGUUGUGGCCGCGACGGCGAAACGACAGGCGGCGGCCGGAGUUCGGCAAGUGCGGGCUCGGCGCUACGGGUGCAGAGAGUAACCGGGGAGUGAUGGGAGACGGCGAGGAGCUCACCGAGCGGCACAAGAUGGCCGGCGACAGAUUAGGAGCAGCAGAGGUGGCGCAUCCGUCGGAGGAUCUCGUCGGAGUCGAGGAAGAAGACGAGCUCGUGGCGCUCGGCACAGCGGUUCCCGGCUAGACCCAGCGGUAGCAGGCGAUGCGGGAGGCAAUGGCGGAGCGGAGGGACUCGACAAGAAGGCAGGGGGAGCUAGGUGGCCUCCUCUAUGCCGUGGUCAUGGCGACGGUGGCGUUCGGCCCCGUUCCAGAUCGACGGAGAGGGAGAUGUGGAGAGGGGGAGAGAGAAAAAGAUCUGGGGCUGCCCAGGGGGUCCGCGGUGGUCUUCUUAUCCACCCCGGCGCCCUGUAGCGAUGCGAGGAGGCGAGCUGGUGCGACUGCGACGGCGAGCCGGUCGUCGGGUGCGCGUGCGUGCAGGGGGUUAGGGAAAGGCCGACCCAAAUGGGCCGGGCCAUACUGGUGGGUCAACUGGGCCAAGUGCACAGUGCACGUUUCCCAUUUUCCUUUUCUUUUACUGCAUUGUCAUUUCUGUUUGCAAAUUGUUUGGCCACCAAAACAUUUUUGAAAAGUGUCCAAUCUGGCCAAAUAAUUAUGACGCAAUAUACUGCACUGCCACAACAAGUUUGGG
rnacentral:lncRNA from 1 species